rnacentral:rRNA from 1 species
UACGGAGGAUCCGAGCGUUAUCCGGAAUCAUUGGGUUUAAAGGGUCCGUAGGCGGUUUAGUAAGUCAGUGGUGAAAGCCCAUCGCUCAACGGUGGAACGGCCAUUGAUAUGCCAGACUUGAAUUAUUAGGAAGUAACUAGAAUAUGUAGUGUAGCGGUGAAAUGCUUAGAGAUUACAUGGAAUACCAAUUGCGAAGGCAGGUUACUACUAAUGGAUUGACGCUGAUGGACGAAAGCGUGGGUAGCGAACAGG